rnacentral:rRNA from 1 species
UACGAAGGGGGCUAGCGUUGCUCGGAAUCACUGGGCGUAAAGGGUGCGUAGGCGGGGAUUUAAGUCAGGGGUGAAAUCCUGGAGCUCAACUCCAGAACUGCCUUUGAUACUGAGUAUCUUGAGUACGGGAGAGGUGAGUGGAACUGCGAGUGUAGAGGUGAGAUUCGUAGAUAUUCGCAAGAACACCAGUGGCGAAGGCGGCUCACUGGCCCGUUACUGACGCUGAGGCACGAAAGCGUGGGGAGCAAACAGG